rnacentral:rRNA from 1 species
UACGUAGGGUGCGAGCGUUGUCCGGAAUUAUUGGGCGUAAAGAGCUUGUAGGUGGUUUGUCGCGUCUGCUGUGAAAAUCCGAGGCUCAACCUCGGACUUGCAGUGGGUACGGGCAGACUAGAGUGUGGUAGGGGAGACUGGAAUUCCGGGUGUAGCGGUGGAAUGCGUAGAGAUCCGGAAGAACACCGGUGGCGAAGGCGGAUCUCUGGGCCAUUACUGACGCUGAGGAGCGAAAGCGUGGGGAGCGAACAGG